UGGAGAAUUACCCAAGUCUGGCUGAAGGGAACGGUCUUGAAAACCGUCAGGUCGGGAAACCGGCGCAGAGGUUCAAAUCCUCUAUUCUCCAU
rnacentral:tRNA from 1 species